UAUCUUUUAACACUAAAACACACACAUAUCACUCACUAAGCAUCGGGGUGCUGAUUUUCAGUUGAUUGUCUUAGGAUAUGUGGAGGCUAAAC
rnacentral:sRNA from 1 species